UGGGGAAUUUUGGACAAUUGGGCGCAAGCCUGAUCCAGCCAUGCCGCGUGCGGGAAGAAGGCCUUCGGGUUGUAAACCGCUUUUGUCAGGGAAGAAAUCUUCUGAGUUAAUACCUCGGGAGGAUGACGGUACCUGAAGAAUAAGCACCGGCUAACUACGUGCCAGCAGCCGCGGUAAUACGUAGGGUGCAAGCGUUAAUCGGAAUUACUGGGCGUAAAGCGUGCGCAGGCGGUUUUGUAAGACAGAGGUGAAAUCCCCGGGCUCAACCUGGGAACUGCCUUUGUGACUGCAAGGCUUGAGUGCGGCAGAGGGGGAUGGAAUUCCGCGUGUAGCAGUGAAAUGCGUAGAUAUGCGGAGGAACACCGAUGGCGAAGGCAAUCCCCUGGGCCUGCACUGACGCUCAUGCACGAAAGCGUGGGGAGCAAACAGGAUUUAGAUACCCUGGUAGUCCACGCCCUAAACGAUGUCAACUGGUUGUUGGGAAGGUUCCUUUCUCAGUAACGUAGCUAACGCGUGAAGUUGACCGCCUGGGGAGUACGGCCGCAAGGUUGAAACUCAAAUGAAUUGACGGGGUCAUAGCUGUUUCCUG
rnacentral:rRNA from 1 species